rnacentral:lncRNA from 1 species
GGGAAUUUUUCAAGGGUUCGUCGGCGGCAUAAAUCAGAGGAGAGGCGGCUCCGGCAUGAAUCAGAGAAGGCAGGCGGGCGGCGGAGGAGGGCAGCACUCAGAUGUCUUCCUCCUCCGGCGCAGCGUACCCUAGAGGUGGGGGCGGGCGGAGGAGGGCAUACGAACCGGCGAAAAGGUGCCCCGCUGGAUUUCCUGGAGUGAUGACAACCCAGGAAGAAGGUACUAUUGCCGCGUCUAUGGAAUUGUAAGCUCUCCCUCUCCUUAUCUUGGUUUGUACCAAUUUUGCUUCUUCUUUUCCUUUUGUUGGUUCUGAUUCGAUUUACUGUUGAGUCUGUAAUCAGAGAGAUGGUAGUGACUAUUUCCUGUGGCAUGAUUAUCCUUGCCCAUUCAUCAGGCAACUGCUUUUGAUCUUCGAGAUGUACCGAGGAGGAUUGAGGAUGAACUCUAUGAUGGACAACAAGCAUGGCAGAGAAAUGUAGCAGAUGGUGCACACGGACAACAAGUUGAAGUGAUGAGGGAGAGAGUUGCAACAACUAUUCCAUUGAUUGAGAAAGUAGAAGAGAACAAUGUUGAGAUUGAGGCAUUGAGGGGCAGAGAACUGUAGCAUUGUUUAGGACUGCUGUAUGGCAUCAUGAUAUUUCUGUUAGGAGUAGUUGCAACAAAAAUGCUAGGUUAUUAGAUCAGUGAAUGUAAUGUGAGCUUUUGGAACACUGAAUUAGCAAGUGACUGGAUGUUGUAAUGCAUUUGGUACCCUUUUGUAAGACCAACUAGCAGAAUAUGUCCAUUAUAUAAUGGAGAUUUGUAGUACUGUUGACAUCUUAACAGAGAUAUUGUCCAAAUGGAGAUUUGUAGUAUUGCUGAUAUCUUAACUUGCA